ACGAGCGAAUGUUCUCACGCGAUCUUAGAUUUGAAUGAUCGGUGGGAUUUUCGUUCGUUC
rnacentral:pre_miRNA from 1 species